CAGACGCCGCGUGAGGGACGACGGCCUUCGGGUUGUAAACCUCUUUUAGCAGGGAAGAAGCGAAAGUGACGGUACCUGCAGAAAAAGCGCCGGCUAACUACGUGCCAGCAGCCGCGGUAAUACGUAGGGCGCAAGCGUUAUCCGGAAUUAUUGGGCGUAAAGAGCUCGUAGGCGGUUUGUCGCGUCUGCUGUGAAAUCCGGAGGCUCAACCUCCGGCCUGCAGUGGGUACGGGCAGACUAGAGUGCGGUAGGGGAGAUUGGAAUUCCUGGUGUAGCGGUGGAAUGCGCAGAUAUCAGGAGGAACACCGAUGGCGAAGGCAGAUCUCUGGGCCGUAACUGACGCUGAGGAGCGAAAGGGUGGGGAGCAAACAGGCUUAGAUACCCUGGUAGUCCACCCCGUAAACGUUGGGAACUAGUUGUGGGGUCCAUUCCACGGAUUCCGUGACGCAGCUAACGCAUUAAGUUCCCCGCCUGGGGAGUACGGCCGCAAGGCUAAAACUCAAAGGAAUUGACGGGGACCCGCACAAGCGGCGGAGCAUGCGGAUUAAUUCGAUGCAACGCGAAGAACCUUACCAAGGCUUGACAUAUACGAGAACGGGCCAGAAAUGGUCAACUCUUUGGACACUCGUAAACAGGUGGUGCAUGGUUGUCGUCAGCUCGUGUCGUGAGAUGUUGGGUUAAGUCCCGCAACGAGCGCAACCCUCGUUCUAUGUUGCCAGCACGUAAUGGUGGGAACUCAUGGGAUACUGCCGGGGUCAACUCGGAGGAAGGUGGGGAUGACGUCAAAUCAUCAUGCCCCUUAUGUCUUGGGCUUCACGCAUGCUACAAUGGCCGGUACAAAGGGCUGCAAUACCGCGAGGUGGAGCGAAUCCCAAAAAGCCGGUCCCAGUUCGGAUUGAGGUCUGCAACUCGACCUCAUGAAG
rnacentral:rRNA from 1 species